rnacentral:rRNA from 1 species
UACGUAGGGAGCUAGCGUUGUCCGGAAUUACUGGGUAUAAAGGGAGCGUAGGCGGGUUUGCAAGUUGAAUGUGAAAUCUAUGGGCUCAACCCAUAAACUGCGUUCAAAACUGCAGAUCUUGAGUGAAGUAGAGGCAGGUGGAAUUCCUAGUGUAGCGGUAAAAUGCAUAGAUAUUAGGAGGAACACCAGUGGCGAAGGCGGCCUGCUGGGCUUUUACUGACGCUGAGGCUCGAAAGCAUGGGGAGCAAAC